rnacentral:tmRNA from 1 species
GGGGCCGACCUGGUUUCGACGUGGAUAACGAAGCAGCUCAGGGCAUACCGAGGACCCGUCACCUCGUUAAUCAAUGGGAAAAACGUAACUGCAAACGACGAUACGUUCGCACUGGCAGCCUAAGGCCGCCGUCCUCUGCCUGGCUCACUGACGGGUCAGCGUCGCAAGACCGGUAGCAAUACCGCCAGAGGUCAUUUACGUCAGUUAAGCCUUGGCGGCGUCACGACGCCCGGGUCGAAAACCUAGUGAAUCGCCGAAACGAAGCGUGUUCGUCCGCGUCGGUGCGGUUAAAUCAAAUGACAGAACUAAGUAUGUAGAACUGGUUGCGGACUAUUUGCGGACGCGGGUUCGAUUCCCGCCGGCUCCACCA